UACGAAGGGGGCUAGCGUUGCUCGGAAUUACUGGGCGUAAAGCGCACGUAGGCGGAUUGUUAAGUCGGGGGUGAAAUCCUGGAGCUCAACUCCAGAACUGCCUUCGAUACUGGCGAUCUCGAGUUCGGGAGAGGUGAGUGGAACUGCGAGUGUAGAGGUGAAAUUCGUAGAUAUUCGCAAGAACACCAGUGGCGAAGGCGGCCAACUGGACCAUUACUGACGCUGAGGCGCGAAAGCGUGGGGAGCAAACAGG
rnacentral:rRNA from 1 species